GGGCCCGCACAAGCGGUGGAGUAUGUGGUUUAAUUCGAUGCAACGCGAAGAACCUUACCAGGGCUUGACAUCCUGCGAACCUCUGUGAAAGCGGAGGGUGCCUUCGGGAACGCAGAGACAGGUGGUGCAUGGCUGUCGUCAGCUCGUGUCGUGAGAUGUUGGGUUAAGUCCCGCAACGAGCGCAACCCACGUCUUUAGUUGCCAGCAUUUAGUUGGGCACUCUAGAGAGACCGCCGGUGAUAAACCGGAGAAGGUGUGGAUGACGUCAAGUCAUCAUGCCCCUUACGUCUGGGCUACACACGUACUACAAUGCUACGGACAAAGAGCAGCAAGUUCGCGAGGACAAGCAAAUCUCAUAAACCGUGGCUCAG
rnacentral:rRNA from 1 species